UUGGAGGGCAAGUCUGGUGCCAGCAGCCGCGGUAAUUCCAGCUCCAAUAGCGUAUAUUAAAGUUGUUGCAGUUAAAAAGCUCGUAGUUGAACUUCGGGGUUCACCCAUUGGUCAGGCUUAAUUGUCUGUACUGGUGAGAUGAAUCUCUACCUUCUGAGGAACUUUCAUGCCAUUUAUUUGGUGUGAUUGGAAAUCAGGACUGUUACUUUGAAAAAAUUAGAGUGUUUAAAGCAGGCUAACGUCUGAAUACAUUAGCAUGGAAUAAUGAAAUAGGACGGAUUGAUUCUAUUUCGUUGGUUUCUAGGAUCACCAUAAUGAUUAAUAGGGAUAGUUGGGGGCAUUAGUAUUCAAUUGUCAGAGGUGAAAUUCUUGGAUUUAUUGAAGACUAACUACUGCGAAAGCAUUUGCCAAGGAUGUUUUCAUUAAUCAAGAACGAAAGUUAGGGGAUCGAAGACGAUCAGAUACCGUCGUAGUCUUAACCAUAAACUAUGCCGACUAGGGAUCGGACGCAGUUAAUUUUAUAAUGACGUGUUCGGCACCUUACGGGAAACCAAAG
rnacentral:rRNA from 1 species